UGCAACCCGACUCCAUGAAGCUGGAUUCGCUAGUAAUCGCGCAUCAGCCACGGCGCGGUGAAUACGUUCCCGGGCCUUGUACACACCGCCCGUCAAGCCAUGGAAGCCGGGAGUGCCUGAAGUGCGUGACCGCAAGGAGCGCCCUAAGGCAAUACCGGUGACUGGGGCUAAGUCGUAACAAGGUAAC
rnacentral:rRNA from 1 species